rnacentral:rRNA from 1 species
UACAGAGGGUGCGAGCGUUAAUCGGAAUUACUGGGCGUAAAGCGCGCGUAGGCGGCUUUGCAAGUCGGGGGUGAAAUCCCCAGGCUUAACCUGGGAACUGCAUUCGAGACUGCAUUGCUAGAGUAUGGGAGAGGGAAGUGGAAUUUCCGGUGUAGCGGUGAAAUGCGUAGAUAUCGGAAGGAACAUCAGUGGCGAAAGCGACUUCCUGGACCAGUACCGACGUUCAGGCACGAAAGCGUGGGGAGCAAACAGG